rnacentral:rRNA from 1 species
GAUGAACGCUGGCGGCGUGCCUAAUACAUGCAAGUCGAGCGAACAGACGAGGAGCUUGCUCCUCUGACGUUAGCGGCGGACGGGUGAGUAACACGUGGAUAACCUACCUAUAAGACUGGUAUAACUUCGGGAAACCGGAGCUAAUACCGGAUAAUAUAUUGAACCGCAUGGUUCAAUAGUGAAAUACGGUUUUGCUGUCACUUAUAGAUGGAUCCGCGCCGCAUUAGAUAGUUGGUAAGGUAACGGCUUACCAAGGCAACGAUGCGUAGCCGACCUGAGAGGGUGAUAGGCCACACUGGAACUGAGACACGGUCAAGACUCCUACGGGAGGCAGCAGUAGGGAAUCUUCCGCAAUGGGCGAAAGCUUGACGGAGCAACGCCGAGUGAGUGAUGACGGUCUUCGGAUCGUAAAACUCUGUUAUUAGGGAAGAACAAAUGUGUAAGUAAAUAUGCACGUCUUGACGGUACCUAAUAAGAAAGCAACGGCUAACUACGUG